rnacentral:tRNA from 1 species
UGGCUCAGUCGGUUGAGUGUCGGACUCUUAAUUUUGGCUCAGGUCAUGAUCCGAAGGUUGUGGGAUCGAGCCCCAC